GAUCCUGGCUCAGAUUGAACGCUGGCGGCAUGCCUUACACAUGCAAGUCGAACGGCAGCACGGGAGCUUGCUCCUGGUGGCGAGUGGCGAACGGGUGAGUAAUACAUCGGAACGUACCCUGAAGUGGGGGAUAACGUAGCGAAAGUUACGCUAAUACCGCAUAUUCUGUGAGCAGGAAAGAGGGGGAUCGCAAGACCUCUUGCUUUAGGAGCGGCCGAUGUCGGAUUAGCUAGUUGGUGAGGUAAAGGCUCACCAAGGCGACGAUCCGUAGCGGGUCUGAGAGGAUGAUCCGCCACACUGGGACUGAGACACGGCCCAGACUCCUACGGGAGGCAGCAGUGGGGAAUUUUGGACAAUGGGCGCAAGCCUGAUCCAGCCAUGCCGCGUGAGUGAAGAAGGCCUUCGGGUUGUAAAGCUCUUUCGGUGGGGAAGAAAUGGCACGGGUUAAUACCCUGUGUUGAUGACGGUACCCGCAUAAGAAGCACCGGCUAACUACGUG
rnacentral:rRNA from 1 species